rnacentral:tRNA from 1 species
AGAAUAAAAGCUUCAAUUAAGCAACUAGCUGUUAACUAGUAGACUACGAUUAACUCGCUUUAUUCUA